rnacentral:rRNA from 1 species
GUGAGGAAUUUUCCGCAAUGGGCGAAAGCCUGACGGAGCAAUGCCGCGUGAAGGAUGAAGGCCUAUGGGUUGUAAACUUCUUUUCUCAGAAAAGAAUUAUGACGGUAUCUGAGGAAUAAGCAUCGGCUAACUCUGUGCCAGCAGCCGCGGUAAGACAGAGGAUGCAAGCGUUAUCCGGAAUGAUUGGUCGUAAAGCGUCUGUAGGUUGUUUAAUAAGUAUUCUGUCAAAGAUUAGGGCUAAACCCUAGAUAGGCAGAAUAAACUUAUAAGCUUAAGUGUGGUAGAGGCAGAGGGAAUUCCCGGUGGAGCAGUGAAAUGCGUAGAUAUCGUGAGGAACACCAAAGGCGAAGGCACUCUGCUGGGCCAAUACUAACACUGAGAGACGACAGCGAGGGGAGCAAAUGAGAUUAGAUACCCGUGUAGUCC